CUCUCGGUAGCCAAGUUGGUUUAAGGCGCAAGACUGUAAUUUAUCACUACGAAAUCUUGAGAUCGGGCGUUCGACUCUCCCCCGGGAGA
rnacentral:tRNA from 1 species